rnacentral:rRNA from 1 species
CGCAAGCCUGAUGCAGCCAUGCCGCGUGUGUGAAGAAGGACCUUCGGGUGUAAAGCACUUUCAGUUGUGAGGAAGGUGGUGUCGUUAAUAGCGGCAUCAUUUGACGUUAGCAACAGAAGAAGCACCGGCUAACUCCGUGCCAGCAGCCGCGGUAAUACGGAGGGUGCGAGCGUUAAUCGGAAUUACUGGGCGUAAAGCGCAUGCAGGUGGUUUGUUAAGUCAGAUGUGAAAGCCCGGGGCUCAACCUCGGAACUGCAUUUGAAAACUGGCAGACUAGAGUACUGUAGAGGGGGUAGAAUUUCAGGUGUAGCGGUGAAAUGCGUAGAGAUCUGAAGGAAUACCGGUGGCGAAGGCGGCCCCCUGGACAGAUACUGACACUCAGAUGCGAAAGCGUGGGGAGCAAACAGGAUUAGAUAGCCUGGUAG